CCUGCAGUACAUCUUAUCCAGAUGCAGCCUUGCACAGAGUUGGUGCCUGUGCCAGUGCCUGGAGCUGCCUGUCCCAUAGCAGCAGCCAGUUCACCUGGCUGUGCACAGUGGCUGGACCCCACACUCACUCCACUUUGCUACUGGCUCACCCUUGUCAGGUGUAAGAUCCCGGCCAGUAGCACGAGCUGAGUGCAGCCUGCCAGGCCAAGUGGGCAGAAUGAGCCAAGUGGGCCUGAGCAAAAACUCAGGCAAAGGCACCACCAGCCACAGAGGUUUCCAACUGCAAAAGCAACAACCUAAGGAUCCUGAGGCAGCUUGAGAGACAAUGGAGAGUAAGACAGCAAUAGACAGAGGCAGGGCUGUGGAGCGACGCAGGCCUCCAAAGAAGAGAGAAGUUUCCAUUCCUGAAGCCUUCUGGAAUCUGAAGUUUGCUGCCUGGACUGCCCGGUUUUAGUGGAAGAAAGCUUGCAUGGGUCUCUGUUUGUUGCUACCAAAGACUCUUGGCUAGAGCAACGUGGAUGAAGGAAGGUUGAACCAAAGACAUGACAGUGGUUCCGAGGGGCUGGGCAGCCUUUGUGGCCUCCCACCACCACCUCAAUUAAGCCAAGCGGUGGAUGAAGAGAAGCUUCUGGGCUGUCAAGUGCCUGCUUCUUAAAAUCACUUUGGAGAACCCAGGGAGUGCAGGAGGCAAAGCAGCGCCCCCUGCGUGAGUCAUCCCCAUUUGAGCAGCCUUCCCACCCCGACCUGAGACACAAGGCCACACUUAGCAUCGAGGGAGACCAAGUGAUGUACCCAGCUUCAAGCCAGGCUUUGUUACAGAGAAGAAAGGAAGGGUAGAUGUUGGCAUAGCAACCAGCAUUGUCUGCAACUCUCUCUGCUGCGUGUCUCCCCAUCAGAUGCCCCCUGGGAACAGGGUGCCUGAGUGCGACUCUUAGGCCUGUAUGAUAAAACUGGACUUCUAAUUCCCUCUUUCACGUAAAUCAGAGCCAGUCAUAUCAUUUCUGCCCACAACCCAACAGCCGUAGCGAGCCACAGGGCCCUACCUGACUGCAGAUGGCUGGACGCAUGGGGAGCAGAAGGAAGGUAAUGAACAACACCACCUCCACCAGCCUUUAACAGGAGUGACGUGGCUCUACGUGCGCUUACAGAAAAGGCCUUCAAGACCUGCCGUUAGCUGGAAAAAUAAGAAGAGCAAGCUACAAAACUCACAUAGAAUAUGAUCCCACUUGGGGAAGCUUUAUGGCCAUGUAGAAGAUGGAAAGUCAGCAUCCAGAUGGACCUGCCCAGGUAGCCCUACUCUUCUGUUAGCUUCCCUCAUCUGGUCACCUUCUCACAGUUUGUCACCCUUGGAAGCCUAAAACCCUCUUCCUUUGUCUCAUCGCUUCUCUAAAAAUGUAUUGUUCCUUUGCUAAAAUGCUGCAUAAACCCAGUUCUUCUUUUUUUUUUUUUUUUUUUGAGAUAGAGUCUCAAGCUGUCACCCAGGCUGGAGUGCAGUGGCACAAUCUCGUCUCACUGCAAACUCCACCUCCUGGGUUCAAGUGAUUCUCCUGCCUCAGUCUCCUGAGUAGCUGGGAUUACAGGCUCAUGCCACCACACCCAGCUAAUUUUUGUAUUUUUAGUAGAGAUGGUGUUUCACCAUGUUGGCCAGGCUGGUCUCAAACUCCUGACUUCAGGUGAUCCACCCACCUCGGCCUCCCAAAGUGCUGGGAUUACAGGCAUGAGCCAUCAUGCCCGGCCUACAUAAACCCAGUUCUAAAUAUCCCUCUGAGUUACUCAUCACUAAGGUUUCUCCCAAGUGAUGUGUACUGCACUUUCUAACAAUCUGUUUGUUUUUCUCUUGUUAGUCUGUCUUUUGUCAGCCUAAUUUUCAGGACCCCAGCUGGAAAACUUAAGAUGAGCAGAGGAAAAAGAUGCCCUCACACACCUGCCUCACUCUUUUUUUUUUUUUUUUUUUUUUUUUUCAGAUAGAGUCUCGAUCUGUCACCCAGGCUGGAGUGCAGUGGCACGAUCUCGGCUCACCGCAAGCUCCGCCUCCCGGGUUCUUGCCAUUCUCCUGCCUCAGCCUCCCAAGUAGCUGGGACUACAGGCGCCCGCCACUGCGCCCAGCUAAUUUUUUGUAUUUUUAGUAGAGACAGAGUUUCACGUGUUAGCCGGGAUGGUCUCAAUCUCCUGACCUCAUGAUCCGCCCUCCUCAGCCUCCCAAAGUGCUGGGAUUACAGGCGUGAGCCACCAAGCCCCGCCUGCCUCACUCUUAUAAGGACCCUUGUGACGACAUUGGGCCCACCAUAUAAUACAAGAUAAUCUCCCAGCUCAAGGUCUUUAAGUUAAUCACAUCUGCAAAGUCCCUUUUGCCUUGUGAGGCAACAUAUUCACAGGUUCCAGGGAUUAGGAUGUGGACAUUUGGGAGGAGGGCAUUAUUCUGCCCACAACAAUGGCCCGUGGCCAUAGAAACUUCUGGAGAGGUUUGUUAUACAGCUUUGGGGUGGGGAGAGUUCCUUUAAGGAAAAGUAUACUCAAUUUUGACUACAAGUUAAGGAUGAAAGUAAAUAUUAUUGGUGGUGAGAAAGCAAAUCACAAAUACCACAGACUGGCCGGGGGUGGUGGCUCACGUCUGUAAUCCCAGCACUUUGAGAGGCUGGGGUGGGCAAAUCACCUGAGGUUAGGAGUUCAAGACCAGCCUGGCCAACAUGGUAAAACCCGUUUCUACUAAAAAUACAAAAAUUAGCCAGGUGUAGUGGCGCACACCUGUAGUCCCAGCUACUUGGGAGGCUGAGACAGGAGAAUUGCUUGAACCCAGGAGGCAGAGGUUGCAGUGAGCCAAGAUCACACCACUACACACCAGACAGAAUGAGAUUCUGUCUCAAAAACAAACAAACAAAUAUGACAAACUUCAAAAAAAAUAGGAAAAUAUUAUAUACGUCACACAUUAUAUAUAUGAUAUGGUUUGGCUCUGUGUCCCUCCCCCAAAUCUCACCUUGAAUUGUAAUAAUCACCAUGUGUCAAGAGUGGGGCCAGGUGGAGAUAAUUGAAUCACGGGAACAGUUUCCCCCAUGCUGUUCUCGUGAGAGUGAGUGAGUUCUCAUGAGAUCUGAUGUUUUUAUAAGGGGCUUCUCCCUUCACUGGAUCCUCAUUCUCUAUUGCCGCCCUGUGAAGAGGUACCUCCACCAUGAUUAUAAGUUUCCUGAGGCCUCCCAGCCGUGCUGAACUGUGAGUAAUUAAACCUCUUCCCUUUCUAAAUUUCCCAGUCUCAGGUAUGUCUUUGUUAGCAGCACGAGAACAGACUAAUACAAUAUCAUUAUUAUUUUGUAAAUAAUAUUACAUAUCAUAUAUAUUAUGUGAUUAUAGUUUUCUGCAUUUUGUCAUUUUUAUGCUAUUUAUUAUUUUCUAACUCUAAAUAAAUAUUGACUUUCAUCCCUGACUUUGCAUUCUUUGAAUAUACAGCACUUUGUUUUUGUUUUGUUUUGUUUUGGUUUGGUUUGGUUUUUGAGACCAGGUCUCACUCUGUCGCCCAGGCUGGAGUGCAGCAGCAUGACUGCAACCUCCACCUCCUGCGUUCAAGUGAUUCUCCUGCCUCAGCCUCCUGAGUAGCUAGGACUACAGUCACAUGCCACCACACCCAGCUACUUUUUAUAUUUUUUGGUAGAGAUGGGGUUUCACCAUGUAGGCCAGGCUGGUCUCGAACUCCUGAUCUCAAGUGAUCCACCCGCCUUGGCCUCCCAAAGUGCUGGGAUUACAGGAGUGAGCCACGGCACCCAGCCAAGUAUAUAGCACUUUGUAUAAUCACUUUAUAUAAUGUUCUUUCUUAAAGAGGACUCCUCAUCUACGUAUCAAGACAGAGAUCCACAAAACUGGAUCUGUUCUGGAGUACAAGAGCUUUUUUCCAAAGAA
rnacentral:lncRNA from 10 species